rnacentral:misc_RNA from 1 species
UCUCCGUUGGUGAACCAGCGGAGGGAUCAUUACAGAGUUCCACAACUCCCAACCCCUGCGAACCGUACCCCAUUUUGUUCUCGUUGCCUCCUGGCGGCGGGCCCCCGGCGCCACCGCCGGCCCCCCCGCCACCGCCGGCGAGCGCCCUGAACCUUUUUUUCUCAACCAUCCCGUCUUCGCAAACCAACAAAUGAAUCAAAACUUUCAACAACGGAUCUUUUUGUUCCGGCAUCGAUGCAGAACGCUGCAGUACGGAAGAGCAAACGCCUGAACUCCAAC